UUAAAUGUUUUGAGAGAGAAGUAAUUAGCCAUGGUAGUCUAAAGGCAGACAGAAGGCAGGGUAGAGUUGCAUCUUAUAGACUAAGUCAAGUCAG